AGAGUUUGAUCCUGGCUCAGAACGAACGCUGGCGGCGUGCCUAACACAUGCAAGUCGAGCGCGAAUGGAGCAAUCCUAGUAGAGCGGCGCACGGGUGAGUAACACGUGGGUAAUCUGCCUGGAAGCCCGGGACAACCUGCCGAAAGGCUGGCUAAUACCGGAUAAGCCCACAGGGUCUUCGGACCCCGAGGGAAAAGAUG
rnacentral:rRNA from 1 species